rnacentral:rRNA from 1 species
GGGUCCGGACACACUGAGGAUUGACAGAUAUACGCUCAUUGCUGCGUGCUUCGGCGCGUGCUUUGAGCUGAAAGAUGCUAGUUCUUUCAUGAUUAUGUGAUAGGUGGUGCAUGGCCGUUCUUAGUUUGUGGAGUGAUCUGUCUGCUUAAUUGCGUAUCAAUAAUAGAGACCUAGUAUACGCGUGGAUUUCGCGUGGUAGUGACCCCCUGUUUAACGACAGGCGUGUGUCGCACACGCGUACCUACGCACUGGUCUCAGAUAGCAACGAACGUGACCGUAUUCUAUUGUUGCAGUGAAGUGUGCCUUCUGGGUACGACCCACUGCUUAGUAUAUGUACGUGCUUCGGCGCGAACAAUAUACAUUAAACUAUAGAGACCGCUGUUUCUUCUUUAAACCAGAGGAAGGAUACGGCAAUAACAGGUCUGUGAUGCCCUCAGAUGUUCCGGGCUGCACACGUGCUACAAUGAUCAUUGCACUGUGCAUCUAACCCAAUGUGCGUGGACGCCGCAUGCAUGUGCCUUCGGGUACACGCAUUGCUGUUGCGACCACGCCGAACCUACUUCGAAAGUAAAAUUUCUCAGUGGGU